UACGAAGGGGGCUAGCGUUGUUCGGAAUCACUGGGCGUAAAGGGCGCGUAGGCGGCCGAUCAAGUCGGGGGUGAAAGCCUGUGGCUCAACCACAGAAUUGCCUUCGAUACUGGUUGGCUUGAGACCGGAAGAGGUAAGUGGAACUGCGAGUGUAGAGGUGAAAUUCGUAGAUAUUCGCAAGGACACCAGUGGCGAAGGCGGCUUACCGGUCCGGUUCUGACGCUGAGGCGCGAAAGCGUGGGGAGCAAACGGG
rnacentral:rRNA from 1 species